rnacentral:rRNA from 1 species
UACGUGAGGGGCGAACGUUGUUCGGUGUCACUGGGCUUAAAGGGUGCGUAGGUGGUUGCGUAAGUAACGUGUGAAAUCCCUCGGCUUACCCGGGGAAUUGCGCGUUAUACUGCGUGACUUGAGGAUUUCAGGGGAAUGGGGAACUCCAGGUGUAGCGGUGAAAUGCGCAGAUAUCUGGGGGAAGGCCGGCGGCGAAGGCGCCAUUCUGGGAAAUUCCUGACACUGAGGCACGAAAGCGUGGGGAGCAAAC